rnacentral:rRNA from 1 species
UACGUAGGGGGCUAGCGUUGUCCGGAAUCAUUGGGCGUAAAGAGCGCGUAGGCGGCCAGAUAAGUCCGGUGUGAAAGUCACAGGCUCAACCUGUGAAUGCCGCUGGAAACUGUCUGGCUAGAGUCCGGAAGGGGCGAGUGGAAUUCCUGGUGUAGCGGUGAAAUGCGCAGAUAUCAGGAGGAACACCAAUGGCGAAGGCAGCUCGCUGGAACGGUACUGACGCUGAGGAGCGAAAGCCAGGGGAGCAAACGGG